rnacentral:rRNA from 1 species
ACGGGAGGCAGCAGUGGGGAAUAUUGGACAAUGGGGGAAACCCUGAUCCAGCGACGCCGCGUGAGUGAAGAAGUAUUUCGGUAUGUAAAGCUCUAUCAGCAAGAAAGAAAAUGACGGUACUUGACUAAGAAGCCCCGGCUAACUACGUGCCAGCAGCCGCGGUAAUACGUAGGGGGCAAGCGUUAUCCGGAUUUACUGGGUGUAAAGGGAGCGUAGACGGCGAUGCAAGUCUGAAGUGAAAGCCCGGGGCUCGACCCCGGAACUGCUUUGGAAACUGUAUAGCUAGAGUGCAGGAGAGGUAUGUGGAAUUCCUAGUGUAGCGGUGAAAUGCGUAGAUAUUAGGAGGAACACCAGUGGCGAAGGCGACAUACUGGACUGUAACUGACGUUGAGGCUCGAAGGCGUGGGGAGCAAACAGGAUUAGAUACCCUGGUA